UGUAUUUUUUCCGUUUUCUUCUUCUCUUCUUCUUCUUCUUCUUCUUCUUCUUCUUGGAGUUCGAAAAGAGAGGGGGCCGAGGCGCCG
rnacentral:ribozyme from 12 species